UGGGUGCCACCAGCCGCGGUAAAACCACCUCCACUAGAGUAUAUUAAAAAGGUGGCACAGAAAAAAAUCUUAGUGGAAUUUUUGAAUUGUUUUUACGGUUGGAAUCAACUGGUUUGUACUGGUGUGAAGAAUCUCUACCCUUUCUGAAGAACCAUCAUGUCAUUAA
rnacentral:rRNA from 1 species